AGCUCCAAUGGCGUAUAUUAAAGUUGUUGCGGUUAAAAUGCUCGUAGUUGGAUUUCUGCCAAGGUAGACCGGUCCGCCCUCUGGGUGAGUAUCUGGCUCAGUCUUGGCAUUGUCUUGGAAGACGUAGCUGCACUUGACUGUGCGGUGCGGUGUCCAAUGCAUUUACUUUGAGGAAAUUUAAGUGUUUCAAGCAAGCAUAUGCCAUGGAAACAUUAGCAUGGAAUAAUAAAACAAUACAUUUGCUCUAUUUUGUUGGUUUCUAGUGAUUUGGUAAUGAUUAACAGGGAUAGUUGGGGGCAUUCGUAUUUAACUGUCAGAGGUGAAAUUCUUGGACCGUUUGAAGACAAACUACUGCGAAAGCAUUUGCCAAGAAUGUUUU
rnacentral:rRNA from 1 species